rnacentral:rRNA from 1 species
GUGGGGAAUAUUGCACAAUGGGCGCAAGCCUGAUGCAGCCAUGCCGCGUGUGUGAAGAAGGCCUUCGGGUUGUAAAGCACUUUCAGUCAGGAGGAAAGGGUGUGUUUUAAUAGAGCACAUCUGUGACGUUACUGACAGAAGAAGCACCGGCUAACUCCGUGCCAGCAGCCGCGGUAAUACGGAGGGUGCGAGCGUUAAUCGGAAUUACUGGGCGUAAAGCGUACGCAGGCGGUUUGUUAAGCGAGAUGUGAAAGCCCUGGGCUCAACCUGGGAACUGCAUUUCGAACUGGCAAACUAGAGUGUGAUAGAGGGUGGUAGAAUUUCAGGUGUAGCGGUGAAAUGCGUAGAGAUCUGAAGGAAUACCGAUGGCGAAGGCAGCCACCUGGGUCAACACUGACGCUCAUGUACGAAAGCGUGGGGAGCAAACAGGAUUAGAAACCCUAGUAGUCC